rnacentral:rRNA from 1 species
ACGGCUCAGUAACACGUGGAUAACCUGCCCUUAGGUUCGGCAUAACUCCGGGAAACUGGAGAUAAUUCCGCAUAGGUCAAAUAUGCUGGAAUGCUUUUUGGCCAAAAGACCUCGGUUGCCUAAGGAUGGAUCUGCGGUCUAUCAGGUAGUAGUGGGUGUAACGUACCUACUAGCCUACGACGGAUAUGGGUUGUGAGAGCAAGAGCCCAGAGAUGGAUUCUGAGACAUGAAUCCAGGCCCUACGGGGCGCAGCAGGCGCGAAAACUUUACAAUGCGGGAAACCGCGAUAAGGGGACACCGAGUGCCAGCAUUUAUGUUGGCUGUCCACAUGUGUAAACGGCAUGUGUUAGCAAGGGCCGGGCAAGACCGGUGCCAGCCGCCGCGGUAACACCGGCGGCCCGAGUGGUAAUCACUUUUAUUGGGUCUAAAGGGUCCGUAGCCGGUUUGAUCAGUUCUUCGGGAAAUCUGACAGCUCAACUGUUAGGCUUCCGGGGAAUACUGUCAGACUUGGGACCGGGAGAGGUAAGAGGUACUACAGGGGUAGGAGUGAAAUCUUGUAAUCCCUGUGGGACCACCAGUGGCGAAGGCGUCUUACCAGAACGGGUCCGACGGUGAGGGACGAAAGCUGGGGGCACGAACCGGAUUAGAUACCCGGGUAGUCCCAGCCGUAAACGAUGUUCGCUAGGUGUCAGGGGCGGUGCGACCGCUUCUGGCGCCGUAGGGAAGCCGUGAAGCGAACCACCUGGGAAGUACGGCCGCAAGGCUGAAACUUAAAGGAAUUGGCGGGGGAGCACUACAACGGGUGGAGCCUGCGGUUUAAUUGGAGUCAACGCCGG